GGGGAAUUUUGGACAAUGGGGGCAACCCUGAUCCAGCCAUUCCGCGUGAGUGAAGAAGGCCUUCGGGUUGUAAAGCUCUUUCGGCAGGAACGAAACGGUCGUCUCUAACAUAGAUGACUAAUGACGGUACCUGAAGAAGAAGCACCGGCUAACUACGUGCCAGCAGCCGCGGUAAUACGUAGGGUGCGAGCGUUAAUCGGAAUUACUGGGCGUAAAGCGUGCGCAGGCGGUUCUAUAAGACAGAUGUGAAAUCCCCGGGCUUAACCUGGGAACUGCGUUUGUGACUGUAGGACUCGAGUGUGGCAGAGGGGGGUGGAAUUCCACGUGUAGCAGUGAAAUGCGUAGAGAUGUGGAGGAACACCGAUGGCGAAGGCAGCCCCCUGGGUCAACACUGACGCUCAUGCACGAAAGCGUGGGUAGCAAAC
rnacentral:rRNA from 1 species